AUCCAGCUGACGAGUCCCAAAUAGGACAGAAUGCGCGUAAUAGAU
rnacentral:hammerhead_ribozyme from 1 species